UUCGAAAUCAUUGUUUUUGGUCUUUAUCCGGAACCAUAGAUUUAAAGUUUUAAGUAAAAGUGGAAGUGGAUUCCAAAGAAGUUUACCGAUUAACAACUUUCUUCAUAUUUUAGUUCGAAAAGUGCUUGAUUCUUUAUCUACGUUCAUGAAUGAAGGCGGGGACACAAUUAUGAUCUUAUAUGAUGUCUUGUAGUUCAAACACCUUCAUUGGCCACUGGAAUUAUGUCGGGAUCCAGCAUAAACAUGCUCUUGUGGACGACAUACCUCUCACUCACGACGAUAGGUUCCGAGUGCUGCAGUCAACUCAGCGUCACGUGGCACAGGACGGAGACUCGUGACAUGCUCGUGUUUGAUCACCUGCUCUACAAGAUGCUCGUGUAUGGGUGCAACAAGGCGGCUUCCUACAAGAACUACUUCUCGUUCAACAAAGU